CAGUCAUCAGCAUGCAAUGGUAGCUAAAGGCACCGGUAUAGAAAAAUUUACAAAGGAAGAGUGUUUAGAAUAAGAAAAAAGAGAGGAGGAUUGCAUUGUGAAAAAAAUAUCAAUAUUUAUAAAGAGAGAAAGGAAGAAGAUCAACAGUGGAUAAAAGCCAGGAAGAAUGGUGUCACCACAGCCAAGGGAAAAGAGAAAACAAAUUCUACGGAGAUUAAGCAAGGACUGAAAAAUACUAGAAUUUUCAACCAAGAAGACUUUGCAAUAUCCCAGUCACCUGGGGAUCACAGUUCCAAAGGAGACAUUGGGAUGCAGAUCAAAUUGCUAUGGACCAAAGAAUAAAUGGGAAAAGCGGAAGUUGAGAUGUGAUUCCGCAGUCUGAAGCCAGCCCUUUCAGCUCUUACAGCCAUCCCAAAUCUGCUGUAAGUGGAGGAAACAAAGCAAUAAUGAAAUAAAAGAUUAGACUUGAGUGAACAAAAGAGAGGCCUGAAACAUACUUGGCAAGUAAUAGAUGCUUAAUUCAUAUUCGUUGAUGGAAUACCUAGAGAAUAAAGCCUUUAUUAAUUGUAGACUUGAAUCUACCAAAAACAGUCCUGGUAAAUGGACUGGGAGUUGGAGAGUGCCGAGCAAGUCAGGACAGAAGACAUAUCUUGAUGAAGCCACAAACUUUACCUAAAUCACCGAGUUUUAAGACACUUGACUGCCCAAAUAAAAACAUCAUAUUGUGAAAGGCCCCAGCCAACAAACCGAAGAUGGGUAGAAGGAAAAAGAAUUUUGCUUUUUUCCUUCCUCUUCAGAAUGUACUUGGGUCUUGCUCGAUGCUAUGCCAUAAAGACGCUCAGGCAAGACAACUGAAUGAGCAGAGGCCACAUGGAGAGAGUGAGCCCACACGGAGGAGCAGGAGGCACCAUACAUAGCCACGCCAAAGAAGCCUUGAGCAAGUGAACUCCC